rnacentral:rRNA from 1 species
ACUUUUAGCAACGGAUCUCUUGGCUCUCGCAUCGAUGAAGAACGCAGCGAAAUGCGAUAAGUAAUGUGAAUUGCAGAAUUCAGUGAAUCAUCGAAUCUUUGAACGCACCUUGCGCUCCUUGGUAUUCCGAGGAGCAUGCCUGUUU